GACGAACGCUGGCGGCGUGCUUAACACAUGCAAGUCGAACGAGUGGCGAACGGGUGAGUAAUACGUGGGUACCUACCUCUUAGAGGGGGAUAACUAUUGGAAACGAUAGCUAAUACCGCAUACUAGUAGAUGGACCUGCGUUGUAUUAGCUAGUAGGUAGGGUAAUGGCUUACCUAGGCAACGAUACAUAGCCGACCUGUGAGGGUGAUCGGCCACACUGGGACGGAGACACGUCCCGAACUCCUACGGGACGCAGCAGUAGGGAAUCUUCGGACAUGGGGGGAACCCUUACCGAGCAACGCCGAGUGAGUGAAGAAGGUUUUCGGAUCGUAAAGCUCUGUUGUUAAGGAAGCGGUACUUAACCAGAAAUGGACGGCUAACUACGUGCCAGCAGCCGCGGUAAUAC
rnacentral:rRNA from 1 species